GGGGUCAUGGCUUAGUGGUAAAGCGUCCGCUUUGCAUUGCCUUAAUUGCAAGGUUGCGGAAGGUCCGGGGUUCGAUCCCCCGUGGCUCCA